rnacentral:lncRNA from 1 species
GGCUUGAAUUAUAUAUAUAUAUAUAUAUAUAUACAUAUAUAUAUGUAUAUAUAUAUAUGCAUUAUCUUCUUUGAUCUUCACAAAGAUCUCCUGAUAUAGGUGCUGUUGGAUUUAUUUCCAUUUUUACAGGUAAAGAAACUGAGACUCAAAGAAUUUAAGGAACCUAUCCAGUGUUAUACAGAAAAAUAUGUUUGAAUCUGACAGGCAACAACAAAAUAUGAACAUUUCCAUAACUGAAGAACAGAGGGAACAACAGUGAAGUCAUCAUCCCUUGAAUCUUCCACCCAAGAUUUCCAAUAGCAGAGAAAGUGAUUUUCCUAACCAAUCCUGUUUUUUUUCUUAACACCAGGUAAUAAUAUUAACAAAGACUGCUUUUCUCUAACAGAGUCCUUCCACAUGUUACUCUUAAAUU